CAGGCAUAUCAGAUUCAGGCCAUGCCUGCAGCUGGUAGGCUGCACGAAAGCCCCUCUCCAUCUUCCCGGAUAACAGGUCUCCUGACAGGUACUGGCCAGAGUCUGCCCACCAAAUGCUUCCAUGGCUCUCGUUGGAAUAUGGCUGAAUGCCUCCUGAAAGCUUGCAGACUGUGUAAUUUUGAAGGCGAACUGUUGCUCCAGCCUCAAGUUUAA
rnacentral:lncRNA from 1 species